AAUUCCUGUGCUCAUGGGGUCUCUUUCCCUCCUAGGGCUUGACCUUGAGAGACACUAAACUCCUUAAAACCUCAGUGCAGGACUUCGGGAGCUGUUUCAGUGCACACUGGGGUUAUCAUUUUGGUAUGGUGCCUCUCUUCUCCCCUCUCACCAUUGAGAAGGCUGUGCUCAGGGAGAGCUCAUGGAGAAUUCCCCAUGCCCAGCCUCUGAUGAGCUUGAAAAUGAAGUCUUCUGCCCCAGCAAUGUAUUUGCUGCCCCUAACACAAGGCUUGCUGGAGCUGCACCUCUGUGCUGACGAAACCUGGUACUCUGCAAGACAACAACAACCAGCUUCGAGAAAUGUGAUGUGCCGCCAGCCCCCCUCCCUUCUGCUGCCCUUGUUUGUGCGGUCCUGAUUUCCGUACAAAGGCUCAGAUCUGCAAGUUGUUAUUUGCGACCAUAAACCAGAGAUUAGUUCUUAUCUCUGGCAGGCAGCACGAGCAGGCACCAGCCCUCGCUGCAGAGCGUUGGCAGCCGAGAGCUGGCCCGGCACACGAAGACAACCUUGUUGGAAGAGGAGGGAGUAAACAACUGGAGGAAAAACUGUUGUGGGAGGUGAAUUUAGAGGAAGGGAUGGUGCCAACCUAGCCAGGGGAGCCCCGAGCCCCAGCAAGUGGGCGAGUGGCAGGGGAGGAAGUGGUGAUCAACACCAGCAUCUGCAAUCAAGAGGCAGGAAGCGCCAUCGCCGGGAAAUGCUCGCCUCGCUCACCGGUGCUGAUAAGGAGGAGGAGGAGGCACCCAGCCCUUCCACGCUCCCCCCGGUGUGGCACCAGGCCCUGGGCACGCAGGGAGGUGGCCUUCAGCCAUCGGCAACAUCUCCCCGGCUUCUGGUGGCCACCCAUUGCCAGGGCUCCUGCAGAAAUCCCCAACCUGUUGGCUUGCAGGAGGUGUUCCCAGCAUCAAAUCUUCCCUUGUAAAACCCCCAUCUCCUUGGUACCCUUCCCCAUGAGGAAAGCAGGUUUCAUCCUUAGCCUCCAGCCCUGGCUGCAGAGCUGCAGAAAAUUGGGUGUAUUUGUACCUGUGUGGAGGAGCCGGACUGACAGGCAAAAAAAUGGGGCCAGUUUGGGGUCUUACAGCAAGAGAAGUACCCUAAUACACAGCUCUGCUUCUGGAGGGAGUUGGAUCCAUUCAGCAGGGUGGGAGCAGGCUUCAGUCACCAGGAAGGCAUUUGCUCGAGACUAAUUGAAUUUUCUGCCCAUGGAGAGAAAGACACGACACAGAGUGAGUUAAAGUCCGACACCAGGACAGGGCGCAGGAGCCGUGUUAACUGGUGUGGGGGACAGCCCCUCACUUAACAAAAGUGUUUAAUUCUGUCCCCUCUUGUUAAGAGGGGGCGGAAGGAGGGGAUAUUUAUUCUGUUCCUUUCUCAAGGUUUUUCCUUUCGGGUCACAAAGUGCCCCCCACGCUCCCGGCCCCCCUCCUCUCCCCGCUUUUGUGGCAGCAGCAGCUGGUGGGUUGCAAAGGGGACAGGCUUUGUCUUUUGACACACUUGAGCAUUUCUGCGCAGAGCUGGGGAAACCUUUCCCUUCCCCACCUCUCGCGUUUCCGGGCGAGGAGAAGGGAGCGAGGAGUUGCUGCGAUGCACGUUAGGGGACGAAGCGGCACAAAGGAGCGGGGCUGCAGCGAGCAGAUGGCCGUGGGCACCGGGAGGGGUGGGAUGGCCGGGAGCACCAGCAAGGUUUGUGUCGAGGAGAAAGUGAUGCGAGAGGAGAGUGCAGGGGCUGCCCCGUCCCAGCACUGACAAGGAGGCUUCUUCUGGACAUUUGUCACCCAGGAACGGGCCCUGGUUAAUUUUAUGGUCACGGCACAUGGAGGAUUGGCUUGGUUUGUGCUACAAGUCCAUAAGCAGAGGUCCUUUUUCUGCAGCAGCUCCCUAACAAGCUCUCCAAAGGGUGCACAAACCCUUCAGUC
ensembl:lncRNA